GACGAACGCUGGCGGCGUGCUUAACACAUGCAAGUCGAACGGAAAGGCCCCUUUGGGGGUACUCGAGUGGCGAACGGGUGAGUAACACGUGAGUAACCUGCCCUUGACUUCGGGAUAACUUCAGGAAACUGGGGCUAAUACCGGAUAGGAAUCCUUGCUGCAUGGUGGGGGUUGGAAAGCUUCGGCGGUUUUGGAUGGACUCGCGGCUUAUCAGCUUGUUGGUGGGGUAGUGGCUUACCAAGGCUUCGACGGGUAGCCGGCCUGAGAGGGCGACCGGCCACAUUGGGACUGAGAGGCGGCCCAGACUCCGACGGGAGGCAGCAGUGGGGAAUAUUGCACAAUGGGCGGAGGCCUGAUGCAGCAACGCCGCGGGCGGGAUGACGGCCUUCGGGUUGUAAACCGCUUUCAGCAGGGGCGAAGCUUGUGGUGACGGUACCUGCAGAAGAAGCACCGGCUAACUACGUG
rnacentral:rRNA from 1 species